GUUGCUCUGAGAGCUGCAAUAGCUUGUGGGGGAUUUAGGAAAAGAGAGAUGUUGCCAUUUUCCAGAAAUCUCAUUUGGAUUGCAAAACAAAAAAGACAGAGAGGCCCAAUAAGAAUGACACAGAGCAUGUUGUCUGCAAUUUAACACACACCACUGUGUUCCAAAAAUAUUCAUUUCCUAAAAAGAGGCAAGUAAGACAAAAUUACUUGGAGGUUUAAAUGACAUCCAUGACGACACAUCCCACAUUCAUUUUUUACUCCUCACUGAAAGAGUAUCCUGGGCCCUUGGAAAUGGUCCCCCUUAUCGAAUUUUACGUAAGACGUGUGAUAUCAUAGCUGCUGACCUAGAGCACUGCUUUCUUUUCUCAGUUAAAUGGUCUACUUCCCAGGCAUUGCUAGGGGACAGUCCCUUAGAUAAGUGUGUGUCGCACAGCAGGCACCGUAAGCAGAACUUGGAAAGGACUCACUGAAGGCAUUCCAUGAAGGACCUCCAGACCAAGGGCUGAGAUCAUUACUUACCAAGGGUUCUUUCAUUCCAGUAGCAUGGCUUCACCCACGUUUAUUGGACAUGCGCAACUGAGCCAGCCACUGACAAGAAACUGCCUACUUAAAUACCAGAAUUCCUGCUGUUUGUCGUAAUACCUGUAGGAACUGUUACAGGUUGUAAAACCCUCUCACAGAAAUACUGUCUCAAAUAGUUUGGGGAGAAGGAAUUUGUGCAGGAAUUGCUUUUCAGAGAGGGGCUCUCUGGUCUAUGAAAACACUCUAAUCUCUACCCCCCCCCCAAAAAUUGUUCUAAAGAGAAGUGGAAGCCAUUUUCCAACUAGAAAAAGAGGUAUAGUCCUUUUUCGUGUUGGUACCUUCAGGAUAAAUCGUUACGUGAUUCAACUAUUUACUAUUUCCUGUAAUAGGAAGCAUCGUGGUUUUUGCUAUAAAGCUGAAUAACAUCCUGAUACAUAGACUGAAAAUCCAACUGGGAGUAGUGUUUUCAGCAUGUGCGCCUGACAUGGAGCAGGUCAAGUUAACUGAGAAAAAUAAUUAAAACUAUUGAUUCAAAUCUC